rnacentral:rRNA from 1 species
AGUGAACGCUGGCGGUAGGCCUAACACAUGCAAGUCGAACGGCAGCACAGUAAGAGCUUGCUCUUACGGGAGGCGAGUGGCGGACGGGUGAGGAAUACAUCGGAAUCUACUUUUUAGUGGGGGCUAACGUAGGGAAACUUACGCUAAUACAGCAUACGACCUACGGGUGAAAGCAGGGGAUCUUCGGACCUUGCGCGAUUGAAUGAGCCGAUGUCGGAUUAGCUAGUUGGCGGGGUAAAGGCCCACCAAGGCGACGAUCCGUAGCUGGUCUGAGAGGAUGAUCAGCCACACGGGAACUGAGACACGUUCCAGACUCUGACGGGAGGCAGCAGUCGAGAAUAUUGGACGAGGGGCGCAUGCCUGAUCCAGCCAUACCGCGUAGGUGAAGAAGGCCUUCGGGUUGUAAAGCCCUUUUGUUGUUAAAGAAAAGCAGCAGUUUAAUACCCCGCGGUUCUGACGGUACCCAAAGAAGAAGCACCGGCUAACUUCGUG